UACGUAGGGUCCGAGCGUUGUCCGGAAUUACUGGGCGUAAAGCGCACGUAGGCGGAUAUUUAAGUCAGGGGUGAAAUCCCAGAGCUCAACUCUGGAACUGCCUUUGAUACUGGGUAUCUCGAGUAUGGAAGAGGUGAGUGGAAUUCCGAGUGUAGAGGUGAAAUUCGUAGAUAUUCGGAGGAACACCAGUGGCGAAGGCGGCUCACUGGUCCAUUACUGACGCUGAGGUGCGAAAGCGUGGGGAGCAAACAGG
rnacentral:rRNA from 1 species